GCCGGCGGCGCCGACGGCGGAGGCGGUGGAGGCGGAGGUGGAGGCGGAGGGGGAGGUCGUGGUUGAUUCAGAUCCCCUAUGUGCUUCAGGCUUCACUGGACUGAACAGCCGUAAGCGAGCUCUGGCUCAGAUUUGUGUAUCUGGGGACCAGGUGGUGCCCGAAGUGGAAAACGACAGGGAUGGGGAGGUUGCAUGCGUGAAGAGGAAGCAUGGAGGGAAGGAUUAGGGUUUGACACUUAUAUAAAUAUGUGUGUAUUUACUAUUUAGUUGAUUAAAUUAAGGGAAUAAUUAAGAAUUUUUGCUAAUUUUUUGUUAUUUUGCCCUUCAAAAUUUUUUAAUUUGCUUGAGA